rnacentral:rRNA from 1 species
UAUUAUACUGAAAGAAUGAAUAAUGGACCAGAUUAUUAGUAGAUAUGUUCUUUAAAUUUAAAGAAUUUGGCGGUGAUUUAGUCUUGUCAGAGGAACCUGUUCUUGAAUCGAUAUACCACGCAGUAUCUUACUCGCUUUUGUUAAUAAUAUUGCAGCUUAUAUACCAUCAUUAGCAGAUAAUUUUAAAAGAAAUAAUUAUUAGAUUUUAGUAGUUAUAAGUAAAAUUAGAUCAAGGUGUAGCUUAUAGGCGAGUUAGAAUGGGUUACAAUAAAAUUUAUUUAUUAAUGGAUUAACUAUGGAAGAAUAAGUGGUUUUAAAGGAGGAUUUGAUUGUAAUGUAAGUUUAAUAUGCUUAGGAGAUAUAAGCUCUAAAUCAU